GGACCGAUUUUUUUGUUUUUUUUUUAAUUUUUGUUUACAAAAAUUUACAAUUGGACUAACUUAUUUGCCGUUUUAUGACUUAUUUGUCGUUUUAAACCCAAACCUGAGCGCCAUAAGUUAUGUCACCGAGCUCACACGCCUCGACGUCACAGUUUUUAGCGUCGAGCUUAUCGACGUGGCAGCGCACAUGGCAACCUAGCUCCACGUCACGGAUCUUGACACCGAGCUUACCGACGUGGCAGGGCACGUGGCAAUCUAGCUCGGCGCCACAGAUCUUGACGUCGAGCUUACCGACAUGGCAGCGCACGUGGCAACCUAGCUCCGCGUCACAGAUAUUGACGCCGAGCUAGAUCCUGACGUCGAGCUUACCGACGUGGUAGCGCACGUGGCAACCUAGCUCCGCGUCACAGAUCUUGACGCCGAGCUAGAUCUUGACACUGAGUUUACCGACGUGACAACGCACGUGGCAACCUAGCUCGGCGCCACAAAUCUUGACGUCGAGAUUACCGACGUGGCAGCGCACAUGGCAACUUAGCUCCGCGUCACAGAUCUUGACGUCGACCUAGAUCUUGACGCCGAGCUUACCAACGUGGCAGCGCACGUGACAACCUAGCUUGGCGCCGCAGAUCUUGACGUCGAGCUAGGAUUUAUACUCGGCGCUCGUCUUCUUUCUCUCCUUAUCUUCCUUCCUCCAGACGUCCCGUGCAUCCACCGCCGCCCCGCCCGCCGAGCCGCCGCCCCGCCAUCGCUCUCGCCGAUGGCGGCUCGCCAUCGCCGCCCUCCGUCCAUGACCUCGACUUCGACCACGAGAUUGAGGAGCUAAACCGGCUAUAAUCGUCGCCUCCGGUUCCUCAACGACUGCAAAUCUGCAAUCCACCAACCAAAAGUGCGAGCACGGAACAAACCAGAGACGCCGGAGAGGCGGGAGAGCGGGAGAGGUCGAGAGGAUCAGAAGCACCAGCAAAUGCAACAGCGAGCAAAUAUUGCACGCGUUUGUCCCUGUAGCACCUCCUCUCUCG
rnacentral:lncRNA from 1 species